CUAGUAGCAGUAGAUAGUACUGGAAGUUCGUUGAUUAAUGAGUGAAAAUUGGAAUUCUUCGUUGGCCUGAAUGUGAGGGUACUGGUUUACCUGAAUUUCUGAUGGGAGAUCAAACACAAGGAGCUACAAUGAUGCUGCAUUUCUUGUGAAAUUAGCUAAGAGGGAAGAAUGAAGUAAUCCUAGAAUCCACAAGCAUGGAGAAAAUUCCUCAGAAGAGCUGUCUGGGAGAAAUAGUGCCACAGAAGGAGGGCUGAUUAAAUUUGACAAGGACCAUUGGAGCCAGGUGGUAAGUGCAAAAAAUGGGCGAAGUUCACAGAAGCGGUCAAAAUAAUUGGCUGUCUGUAAUAGACUAGCAGAAACAUUUUCCAGUUAAUUUCUCUAUGAAAAACAGUGCUACAAGAAUUUUACAGCAUAUAGAAACCUGCCAGAUCUACCUGGUGAACCAUGUAGCAGUACCAGUGGGCAUGGUGCUUUGCUCCUCAGAUCUAGCACUGACAGCCUAGCAUCAGCAGAGUCUACUUCAGGAAUUUUCAAGAAGGAAUGUAGUAUAUUUUGCAAGAAGGUUGGGAAAAAGACAUUCAAAACUUUCAGGUUCCUCAUAUGAAUAUCUUGCCAGUUGUGAGACUCUCCGUGCAGAAAAUAACAUCACAGAAACUGCAUGUGUGUUGGAAGACUAAGAGAUGGAAGUGCUGAUAGCUGGUGUGGACUUCGUGGCUAAGGAAGUGAAGGAUCACAGCUCAUGCAAAAAUGCAUACAUAAAGAAAGCCAAAAGACAGGAGGAGGAGAGAGUCCACAGAUUAUGGAAAGAUCAGACAGGUACACCAUGAAACUUUCUGCAAAAUCAUACAUUAUGUUCAUUGCAGGUAGAGAAAAGAUUCUUGUAA